UCUCUGAUAUUGUUCAUGGGCCGGGCCAAAUGUGGAGGUGGGCCAAAUCCGGACCGCAGGCCUAAGUUUGGGGACGCCUCCUCUCGAACCCCUCGACCACAGUAAGACCUGCGCCUUUGAUCCGACCCCCAGAUGAAGCUGAAUCCACAGAGGCUCAGAACCGAUCCCUCAGAUCAGAGAUCCAGUUUCUGGAACCCAAAACUCCAACAAAAUCUUCUCUUCACCUGCAGUUCUAAGGAUUCCUGCUCUGGCAUGGUCUCAUUGGCUGGACACACCUGAACCAGACUGAAAGAGUAAAGAUUAUCAUAGAAUAUGACAAACGUUACACUAGAGAAGACACAGCUCUGAUAAUAAGAUUCUUAAGAAGGAGUCUUCACCGAAGGCAGCCGCUGCAGAGGUCGGCGGAGGAAAGAUGAACUCUUUCUGCUGCAUUCUGAAUCAGCUGUGGGAUUUUUCUGUAUAAUUGGGACAUUGGACUGAAGCCGCAUUGCAGUGCCGGAGCUGUAAAGUUAUGAUUGCAUGAACUAGUUUUCAGCUUCACUCCGGGAAAUGAUGAUUUUGUAAUAUCAAGACGGUGGAAGAAAGGAACUUUGGAGGGCCGGUCUGACGUGUAAUUAAAGGACAGAUUCUGGUCGGACUGGAGUCCACAAGUCCUGAGAGAAAAACUCCAGGCAGGAAAUACGUUCAAGAGAAACACAAUUAAUGCUUUUUUUCCAUUUCCAAUUAGAAAUUAGGACCAAUUUAUAUCAGGAAGACCAGGGUGAUGCAUUUGUAACCCAAGGAUUAAAUCAGGAAGGUUGCAGUGGAUGUUUUUUUUCUGUCCCAAGGACACCAUGCUUAAAAAAAGCAGUUCUGGUAUAAAACCCUGAGGAACUCCAUAACUGAUUGUUCUAACCUCCAAGCUGCAGAAAACGGACUCAGAACACAAGUUCUUCAUGACACGGUGGUCCUUCGUUAAUCCCAGGAGUUACCUGUAAACUUCACUUUAUACAAUUAUUAUGACUAAAGUUCCAAUCGCUCGUAUGGAAAAGAAGUCAAGUACUAGGGAUUGAAACCAAAGAAAACAGGAUGGAGGAGAUUGACGAGGCCAGCAGCCAAUCAGGAUGCACAGUAAAGAACAUUUUAAAAAUAAAAUUAAAAAAAGUUUUAAAUUCAUAACGCACCAAAAAAAAAAAAAAAAAA